GUCGAGCGAACAGAUAAGGAGCUUGCUCCUUUGACGUUAGCGGCGGACGGGUGAGUAACACGUGGAUAACCUACCUAUAAGACUGGGAUAACUUCGGGAAACCGGAGCUAAUACCGGAUAACAUAUUGAACCGCAUGGUUCAAUAGUGAAAGGCGGCUUUGCUGUCACUUAUAGAUGGAUCCGCGCCGUAUUAGCUAGUUGGUAAGGUAACGGCUUACCAAGGCAACGAUACGUAGCCGACCUGAGAGGGUGAUCGGCCACACUGGAACUGAGACACGGUCCAGACUCCUACGGGAGGCAGCAGUAGGGAAUCUUCCGCAAUGGGCGAAAGCCUGACGGAGCAACGCCGCGUGAGUGAUGAAGGUCUUCGGAUCGUAAAACUCUGUUAUCAGGGAAGAACAAAUGUGUAAGUAACUGUGCACAUCUUGACGGUACCUGAUCAGAAAGCCACGGCUAACUACGUGCCAGCAGCCGCGGUAAUACGUAGGUGGCAAGCGUUAUCCGGAAUUAUUGGGCGUAAAGCGCGCGUAGGCGGUUUUUUAAGUCUGAUGUGAAAGCCCACGGCUCAACCGUGGAGGGUCAUUGGAAACUGGAAAACUUGAGUGCAGAAGAGGAAAGUGGAAUUCCAUGUGUAGCGGUGAAAUGCGCAGAGAUAUGGAGGAACACCAGUGGCGAAGGCGACUUUCUGGUCUGUAACUGACGCUGAUGUGCGAAAGCGUGGGGAUCAAACAGGAUUAGAUACCCUGGUAGUCCACGCCGUAAACGAUGAGUGCUAAGUGUUAGGGGGUUUCCGCCCCUUAUGCUGCAGCUAACGCAUUAAGCACUCCGCUGGGGUACGACCGCAGGUUGAAACUCAAAGGAAUUGACGGGGACCCACAAGCGGGGACAUGU
rnacentral:rRNA from 1 species